UAGGGAAUCUUCGGCAAUGGGGGCAACCCUGACCGAGCAACGCCGCGUGAGUGAAGAAGGUUUUCGGAUCGUAAAGCUCUGUUGUAAGAGAAGAACGUGUGUGAGAGUGGAAAGUUCACACAGUGACGGUAACUUACCAGAAAGGGACGGCUAACUACGUGCCAGCAGCCGCGGUAAUACGUAGGUCCCGAGCGUAGUCCGGAUUUAUUGGGCGUAAAGCGAGCGCAGGCGGUUUAAUAAGUCUGAAGUUAAAGGCAGUGGCUUAACCAUUGUUCGCUUUGGAAACUGUUAAACUUGAGUGCAGAAGGGGAGAGUGGAAUUCCAUGUGUAGCGGUGAAAUGCGUAGAUAUAUGGAGGAACACCGGUGGCGAAAGCGGCUCUCUGGUCUGUAACUGACGCUGAGGCUCGAAAGCGUGGGGAGCAAACAGG
rnacentral:rRNA from 1 species